rnacentral:rRNA from 1 species
GACGAACCACACAAACGUUGUCCGGAAUUACUGGGCGUAAAGCGUGCGCAGGCGGUUUCUUAAGUCAGAUGUGAAAGCCCCGGGCUUAACCUGGGAACUGCGUUUGAAACUGGGAGACUUGAGUGUGGCAGAGGGGGGUGGAAUUCCACGUGUAGCAGUGAAAUGCGUAGAUAUGUGGAGGAACACCGAUGGCGAAGGCAGCCCCCUGGGUUAACACUGACGCUCAUGCACGAAAGCGUGGGGAGCGAACAGG